CAAGCAAGCCAAGGACCAUAUGUUUUUUUGUGUUUACACUUUCAGCAUCUAAGCUUAUUAUAUUCAACACAAGGAGAAAGUCCCCGGAAAACAAAAUAUACUUCUGUCCAAUGAUUAAAGAUUAGGGCAGUGGGGUAUUUAGUAAAGCAACUUUGUUUGUUUGUUUUUUUCAUAAUAAAAGUAAUAUGGUCACCCUAUAAUAAUGGGGCAACUUAAUGGGGCUUACUCUGGCUUGUUU
rnacentral:RNase_MRP_RNA from 2 species